rnacentral:rRNA from 2 species
UGGCGGGAUGCCUGCCAUGCAAGUCGAACGGCAGCACAGAGGAGCUUGCUCCUUGGGUGGCGAGUGGCGGACGGGUGAGGAAUACAUCGGAAUCUACUCUGUCGUGGGGGAUAACGUAGGGAAACUUACGCUAAUACCGCAUACGACCUACGGGUGAAAGCAGGGGACCUUCGGGCCUUGCGCGAUUGAAUGAGCCGAUGUCGGAUUAGCUAGUUGGCGGGGUAAAGGCCCACCAAGGCGACGAUCCGUAGCUGGUCUGAGAGGAUGAUCAGCCACACUGGAACUGAGACACGGUCCAGACUCCUACGGGAGGCAGCAGUGGGGAAUAUUGGACAAUGGGCGCAAGCCUGAUCCAGCCAUACCGCGUGGGUGAAGAAGGCCUUCGGGUUGUAAAGCCCUUUUGUUGGGAAAGAAAUCCAGCUGGCUAAUACCCGGUUGGGAUGACGGUACCCAAAGAAUAAGCACCGGCUAACUUCGUGCCAGCAGCCGCGGUAAUACGAAGGGUGCAAGCGUUACUCGGAAUUACUGGGCGUAAAGCGUGCGUAGGUGGUCGUUUAAGUCCGUUGUGAAAGCCCUGGGCUCAACCUGGGAACUGCAGUGGAUACUGGGCGACUAGAGUGUGGUAGAGGGUAGCGGAAUUCCUGGUGUAGC